AUCAACUACGACCAGAAGAGCCAAGAGGUGGAGGAGAGAGAGAGACAUGAUGGAGACGAGGACAUCAAGGUGAGGACACAAACACACUUUGUAUUGUCUCUAAUCUGUUUAUACAUCUCCACAAAACUCUGGAGGAGCAGCUGGAGAACCACCACAAGCAGCUCAGCCGCCUCAGAGACCAGAUCCAAGACAAGCAGAGGAUGAUGGACCAGCUCCUUUUUGUUUCAACCAGGGCCUGUUACUGGAGCAGGAGAGACUCAUGACAGAAGCUCAUGAGCUGCACCUGAAGGGAGCAAAGAGAUGGUCUGCCACAUAUUCACCACAUUGAAUAAGGACUGAAAACUACAAGACACAACAAUAAACUAAUACAAGUUGUUGCUAAUGCUAA